AACGAACGCUGGCGGCGCGCCUAAUACAUGCAAGUCGAGCGAGAAGACGUAGCAAUACGUUUGUAAAGCGGCGAACGGGUGAGGAAUACAUGGGUAACCUACCCUCGAGUGGGGAAUAACUAGCCGAAAGGUUAGCUAAUACCGCGUACGCUCCUUGGACUUCGGUUCAGGGAGGAAAGCGAUACCGUGGGUAUCGCGCUCUUGGAUGGGCUCAUGUCCUAUCAGCUUGUUGGGAGGUAACGGCUCACCAAGGCUUCGACGGGUAGCUGGUCUGAGAGGACGAUCAGCCACACUGGCACUGCGACACGGGCCAGACUCCUACGGGAGGCAGCAGUAAGGAUAUUGCGCAAUGGGCGAAAGCCUGACGCAGCGACGCCGCGUGGGGGAUGGAA
rnacentral:rRNA from 1 species